GACGAACGCUGGCGGCGUGCUUAACACAUGCAAGUCGAACGGAAAGGCCCUGCUUUUGUGGGGUGCUCGAGUGGCGAACGGGUGAGUAACACGUGAGUAACCUGCCCUUGACUUUGGGAUAACUUCAGGAAACUGGGGCUAAUACCGGAUAGGAGCUCCUGCUGCAUGGUGGGGGUUGGAAAGUUUCGGCGGUUGGGGAUGGACUCGCGGCUUAUCAGCUUGUUGGUGGGGUAGUGGCAUACCAAGGCUUUGACGGGUAGCCGGCCUGAGAGGGUGACCGGCCACAUUGGGACUGAGAUACGGCCCAGACUCCUACGGGAGGCAGCGGUGGGGAAUAUUGCACAAUGGGCGGGAGCCUGAUGCAGCAACGCCGCGUGCGGGAUGACGGCCUUCGGGUUGUAAACCGCUUUCGCCUGUGACGAAGCGUGAGUGACGGUAAUGGGUAAAGAAGCACCGGCUAACUACGUG
rnacentral:rRNA from 1 species